UCACUUACCUGGACGGGGUCUAUGAGUGAUCAAUAAGGCUCAUGGCCUAGAUCAAUGGCUCGCGUUGCACUUUGUGAGUGUGUUGAUCUACCAUCUUCCUUUUGAGAAAGAGUGAACGUCAUAAUUUGUGAUAGAGGGGGUACACGUUCGCGCGGCCCCUG
rnacentral:snRNA from 1 species